rnacentral:rRNA from 1 species
ACGGAGGGUGCAAGCGUUAUCCGGAUUCACUGGGUUUAAAGGGUGCGUAGGAGGGCAGGUAAGUCCGUGGUGAAAUCUCUGAGCUUAACUCAGAAACUGCCGUGGAUACUACCGGUCUUGAAUAUCGUGGAGGUGAGCGGAAUAUGUCAUGUAGCGGUGAAAUGCUUAGAGAUGACAUAGAACACCCAUUGCGAAGGCAGCUCACUACCCGAAUAUUGACUCUGAGGCACGAAAGCGUGGGGAGCAAACAGGA